rnacentral:rRNA from 1 species
AGAGCGAACGCUGGCGGCAGGCUUAACACAUGCAAGUCGAGCGCCCCGCAAGGGGAGCGGCAGACGGGAGAGUAACACGUGGGAACGUACCUUUCGGUUCGGAACAACCCAGGGAAACUUGGGCUAAUACCGGAUACGCCCGUAAGGGGAAAGAUUUAUCGCCGGAAGAUCGGCCCGCGUCUGAUUAGCUAGUUGGUGAGGUAACGGCUCACCAAGGCGACGAUCAGUAGCUGGUCUGAGAGGAUGAUCAGCCUCACUGGGACUGAGACACGGCCCAGACUCCUACGGGAGGCAGCAGUGGGGAAUAUUGGACAAUGGGCGCAAGCCUGAUCCAGCCAUGCCGCGUGGGUGAUGAAGGCCCUAGGGUUGUAAAGCCCGUUUCGGCGGGGAAGAUAAUGACGGUACCCGCAGAAGAACGCCCCGGCUAACUUCGUGCCAGCAGCCGC